ACGUAUUUACGCAGAGCUUCACUGAAUGCACCUCGUGAAAAAAGAUUUUUAUAUCAAUUUGGCCUAAUAUUUAAAAAGAAAAAUUGAAUUAAGUUUGAUGUUUAAUUGAAAUCAUGGCAAGUGUUCGAAAAAUAAUUGUAAAUAUAUACGAAGAUCCAUUUAAAUGGUGUUUAGUAAAAAGUAUUGGUCUAUUUGCAUUAGGAGUUAAAAUUGCUCUCGAGUGCAAAGGAAUGGAAUUAAUGCCUCCUAUGACUGCUUAAAGAUAAUAAUUUGUAAAUAUUCUCAUCUUAAACAAAUCAUCAGAAAAAUCACACAAGUAAUUCCUGUAAUUAUGUUAUAUUAUAUACAUUUAAAGAAAAUAGAUUAUGCUUAAACAAUUUUAUCAAUAAACUGAAAAAUGUCAUACGCA